UACGUAGGGUGCAAGCGUUUAAUCGGAAUUACUGGGCGUAAAGCGUGCGCAGGCGGUUUUGUAAGUCUGUCGUGAAAUCCCCCGGGCUCAACCUGGGAAUUGCGAUGGAGACUGCAAGGCUAGAAUCUGGCAGAGGGGGGUAGAAUUCCACGUGUAGCAGUGAAAUGCGUAGAGAUGUGGAGGAACACCGAUGGCGAAGGCAGCCCCCUGGGUCAAGACUGACGCUCAUG
rnacentral:rRNA from 1 species